rnacentral:misc_RNA from 1 species
GAUGAAGAACGUAGCGAAAUGCGAUAAGUAAUGUGAAUUGCAGAAUUCAGUGAAUCAUCGAAUCUUUGAACGCACAUUGCGCCCGCCAGUAUUCUGGCGGCCAUGCCUGUUCGAGCGUCAUUUCAACCCUCAAGCCCAGCUUGGUGUUGGGGAUCGGCACAGGCGCCCUCGGGCGCCCGCCGUCCCCUAAAUCUAGUGGCGGUCCCGCUGCAGCCUCCUCUGCGUAGUAGUUUUCUCCUCGCAAGGGCAGCUCGGUGGCGACCUCGCCGUAAAACCCCCAACUUCUGAAAGGUUGACCUCGAAUCAGGUAGGAAUACCCGCUGAACUUAAGCAUAUCAAUAAGCGGAGGA